GGGCCCGCACAAGCGGUGGAGCAUGUGGUUUAAUUCGAUGAUACGCGAGGAACCUUACCAGGGCUUAAAUGUAGGUUGCAUGAUCUAGAGAUAGAUCUUUCUUCGGACUACCUACAAGGUGCUGCAUGGUUGUCGUCAGCUCGUGCCGUGAGGUGUCAGGUUAAGUCCUAUAACGAGCGCAACCCCUACCGUUAGUUGCCAGCGAUUCAAGUCGGGGACUCUAACGGGACUGCCGGUGCAAACCGUGAGGAAGGUGGGGACGACGUCAAAUCAUCACGGCCCUUACGUCCUGGGCUACACACGUGCUACAAUGGUCGGUACAGAGGGAAGCUACCCCGUAAGGGGAUGCGGAUCUAUAAAACCGAUCUCAGUUCGGAUCGGGGUCUGCAACUCGACCCCGUGAAGCUGGAAUCGCUAGUAAUCG
rnacentral:rRNA from 1 species